GUCUUACUGGUUGUAACAUUGCACAUUGCAGAUCAGCACGACUUAUGUAUACAAAUUUAGUUCAGUCGUAUUUUAACAUUAUAAACUUAAAUAUCCAGACUACUGAUUCUAUGUUAACUAAAUUAUAACUCUAUCAAAAAUAAUGAACUUAUAAGUGAUUGUAAAUCAAUAAAAAACAACUAAUUAGGUUUACACACGAGUGUCAAAUUAUAUUGAGUAAAGUUAACCAUUUAUCUCUCUUUCGACUUUCUCAACUCAACCGCAGAAGAGAUUCACAUGGACCAGCCAAAUGAUAUGAAAUGGAACUAAACAAGUGUCCAAACUACAAAGAAAUUUGUAUGGAUUGAAACAAGAACCCAGACGUUGGAAUAAAGCGUUGAUAAACUUUGAUCUAAAAGAAACAAAGACAAUGGGAUCAUAGCAGCAAUAAAUAAUAAUAAAUUUUGUCAGUCGCUAUUUAGAUAAGCCUCUGAUAAUACAUUGGAAUUCGGUGAAACG